GGACUACACGGGUAUCUAAUCCUGUUUGCUCCCCACGCUGUCGCGCCUGAGCGUCAGCCGUCGGCCAGGGCACUGCCUUCGCCAUUGGUGUUCCUCCGGAUCUCUACGCAUUUCACCGCUCCACCCGGAAUUCCAUGCCCCUCUCCGACGCUCAAGCCCGCCGGUUUGCACGGACCUCUCCCAGUUAAGCCGGGAGCUUUCACCGCACACCUGACGGGCCGCCUGCGCGCCCUUUACGCCCAGUAACUCCGGACAACGCUCGUCUCCUACGUAUUACCGCGGCGGCUGGCAC
rnacentral:rRNA from 1 species